CAGAUAUAUUAGGGGAAUGUUUGCACUCUAUAUAUAGUGUGCAAACAUUCCCCUAAUAUAUGCA